rnacentral:rRNA from 1 species
UACGUAGGGCGCAAGCGUUAUCCGGAAUUAUUGGGCGUAAAGAGCUCGUAGGCGGUCUGUCGCGUCUGCUGUGAAAACCUAGGGCUUAACUCUGGGCGUGCAGUGGGUACGGGCAGGCUAGAGUGCGGUAGGGGAGACUGGAAUUCCUGGUGUAGCGGUGAAAUGCGCAGAUAUCAGGAGGAACACCGGUGGCGAAGGCGGGUCUCUGGGCCGAUACUGACGCUGAGGAGCGAAAGCGUGGGGAGCGAACAGG